ACGGCCCUAUUCGAAAAAUGCAAUACGGAAAAGAUAUGAGAUCGUUAAGUUCUGGUUUAGAUAUAGAUAAGUUCUCAAUUAGAUAUCGUUUGUAUGUGGUAUAAUUGACAGAAGCUGCACGAUUCGGAUGACCAAUGUCACUUUGACGUUAGAAUAUCUUUGAAAGAUCUUAGUCAGUGUUGCCAGAUGGGUUUUGCGUUCCGUUACGUGCACCUCUUAAAAAUAGUACGCAAAUUCAAGUUGAGUACGCAGUAUAAAAUUUACGGUGCGUUCCUAAAUAAUAUUAAUCGGAAAACCACCGAAUUUUAUCGCUACUAUAAAAAUGUUGAAAAUAGAACUUCACAUAUUUCGAUAAAAUAUUUCUUGUUUAAGGAGACUCAAUUCAAUGCAAAUUUGCCAACGGUGGCGUUUCGAAAUGUAAUACCGUCGCGGCGUCUGUCAUACUUCGGUCUACUUAAACACGCUGCACGCUGCUGCGACGCGUCAGGGCCUACCGCGAACCACGUUCGACGUGUUGCCUCUCUGUCGCACUUAUAAAUUCGUACGUAAGUAUGACAGGGAGGCAACACGUCGAACGUGGUUCACGGUAGGCCCUCUGUUCUGUGAUUGUUAGGCAAACACAAACAUUUUUUUUUACAACGGACGCCCACGAGUAUUCCUCUGCGUUGAAGUCAUUGUUGAAGUUUGAAAACUCAUAAAGUUUUGUUUUGUGAGUGAAACCGUGAAUAAUACUAAAUAAAAAUGUGUGACAGUGAUCACAGUGAUGAAAAUAUGUUGCCCACUACUCCUCAGGAAAUAUUAAAGCCUUUUCCGUUUAUGUUGUUCCGUUGUUUGCUAUUUUGACAACUUGAAAAGUUUUAUCGGCAGUUUGCGUGUUAUUACUGUGAAGUGUUUGGCCAAACCGCCGCUACCACUUUUGAAAGGAUGCCACCCAAAAAUCCAAAAAUUCGCUCGAACGCAGCACAAAUUAGAUUGCUCGUUGAAUACAUGUCACAGCACACCCGGUUCGCCAACCGGGAAUUUGACGGGCCUCUAAGGACCCCAGAGGUACGAGGCGCAAUGGGAGGCCCUUGCACAGGCCUUAAGGGAGCACGGGCCCAAUAAGUCAGUGCAGGCAUGGAAAGUGGUGGGCACCUGCUCCCCGCUGGCGACACCCUUGCAGAAGCUAGCAUUUUCAGAUAUAUUUACUUUUUAAGUUUUUGGUUUGGUUUAACCGGAAUUAUUUUUACCCGACUAUGAGAAUGGGAAGGGUUAUGAUUUUAGCAGUCUACGUAUGGAUGCCGUAUAUAUGCCGGUAUGUUUUUGUUGUGUAUAAAUUACUAAUCAAUUUUGGUGAAUGAGGUGUUUAUAGGUUCAUUUUUAUGGGGUGACAUAGACUACAUAAUAAUAUUUAACUGACUUUGGACAAGGAAGAGGUGCUAUAGUUAAGAAAAAAAUCAUAGUCGGGUAAAAGUUUUUACAAUCUUUUGCUUGUUUUCAUUCUUAUAACAAAUAUUUUAAACUUGCAUGUGCUCAUUGCCUCAGAUUGACGACUACGUUGAGUUUUCGGGUGCUGGGAACAGUGUGGCUGGCAGCACGUUUUCUGCCACUGCUGAAAAUCUCGUUGUUGUUCCAACAACCGCCACCGUUACUGCGGCCUUGCUCAGCGAACAACCCCACUUCUCCACCUCUCAUUUGUCCUCGUCUCCCUCUCCUUCUGCCAGCCCUAUACGCUCCACGCAUUCAGUACUGCCCACAAGUCCUGGACUACCCGAACGUCCCUCUCUUGCCGCCCUUUCCGCCCGCUAUGCCCGUCCCGCCCUUCUCGCUCGUUCCGCAAUAACCGCCCAACCCGCACGUCUUGUCCUGCCUGCACGUCAAGUACACAGCUCUGUGUACGUGGAUCCGCGCCCUGCACGCGUAUCCACGUACACAGAGCUGUGUACUUGCCCCGCAACCGCACGACGGAACCGGCACCUUCGACAGCACAAUUUAAUCAUCUGCAGCAUGAGCAUGAUAAUAUUUUAAGAGUAAUUAAUUAAUUUAUGAACUAAUAAUUCUGUUUUAAGAUCAGGUUGAGUACGAGAAACAUUGUUUAUUUAACUUGGGACAAGAAAAACAGUAACUUGGCAGUAAGAAUGCAUACAUAAAGCCUGUAAGCUCCAUACUUGACGUACCAUUCCCUACAAGUGUUUCUCUUGCCUCCAUAUUUCGCUUACCCCAUCUGACCUUAUUUGUAUUGAUAAAACAUACAAAUAAUAAAUAUAUAUAUAUACGCGAGCAAUCGCAAAAUCUACAUUUCGGGAUUUCUCGUAUCGUACAGUGCCGUUUAAAUAAAAUAACACCACCAACUACCCAUAAGAGGGUUAUUAUGAAACUUAUAAUUAACAUGCAUUUUAUUGAAAGGCUGGAAUUUUAUUUAUCUUGAAAUCUUGACCAUGGUCAUAUGUUUGACUGGACGGUACACGGCAAUGUUAUUAUUACUAAUAUAUUUCAUAACACUAGACUUAUUCAAUCCUAAGUAACCUAUUAGCUUCUCAUUCGUGUGCGGUAUAUAUCAGCGUUUGGUAGUAUCAUAAUAGUCAAAUCUGGUGUUGGUUGUUGUUAAUAGUUAAAUGUUCAUAAAAUUUGACAACUUAUUAUAGUUAUAUUUUGUGUGAGUCAGUUAUCAUAACAGAAAUAAGAUAUAAAGCUGUUAAUACCGUAAAUUGUGUAUGGAUAUGUUUGACUCAAAUUCUGUAUUCCCACAAUAAGUAGGUAUACGGGGAGCCCGUAAGAAAUCAGUGGUAUAUGAAGGCUUUCUUGUGCAACUUUAGUAUGAGCUGGAACAAGUAAAUGUAGUUAUGUAGAACAGAUAAUCUCCAUUGUGGUAGAUGGCGCUAUUUAUUAUGUGCUCUGUGAUACCACUUAGUUUAAACUUGCUAUAACAUAUUUUAUGUUGACAGGAUAUCCUGAACGAACUGAAAAUUUUUAAUGAGGCGCAGAAACAAAAAUGGAGUGUUUUGAAGGAGGGGCACGACUUGUUGGCGAAUCGUAUUAACACAUUGGAGGACACCGAGAUUAUUGAGAACUUGGAAGACACAGUUAUAAUGGAAGAGGAAGACGUCUGAGCUAAGCGCUGUCCUCGCACCCUCCGUCUAGUUUACGUUUGCGGCCAUAUCAAAAAUACACACCGUAUGUUUAUUAGGGUUCCGUACCAAAAAGGUACAAAAGGAACCCUUAUGGUGCUAUUGCUAAAUAUCUCGAGAAGUACUUAAGCUAUCGAUGUGAAAUUUGGAAUAGUAAUGAAUAACGCUGACCCAAACAUAUUGGAUGUGUAUUUAUUUUAUUUUAUUUGUAAGUAUUAAUAAUGGAAAAUUCCCAAUAUGAAGAGGGGGUAAAAUUGCAAAGUCUAGUUAAAUAGGUCAAGUGGGGUAUCAUUUGAAAGAGCUCAAAUUGAAAAUUACAAAACAAUUUUUUAUUUUCAUUGUGAAAAAAAAAUUUACGUAUGAAGGAAAAUGUGAAAAUAAUACCAUCCCCCCCCCCCCCUCUCUCAUCUCCGAAGUUUAAGAAUAAAAAUUGUUUUUUUUACAUUGGUCAAGUCUUUCAUGAGAAAAUUUGAAGUUUGUACGGAACCCUCGGUGUGCGAGGUAAACGAACUCGCACUUGACCGGUUAUUCUUAUUGCCCAUAAGGCCCGUCCUUAGAUAUAUGUCAAUGAUUACGGUGAUCUCGAAAAUGGCUCAAAUGAUUUCAAUUAAAUUUGCUAUAUGGGGGUUUUCGGGGCGUUUUUGAGUUUUUACCUAUUUGUUUUCCGAGCAAAAGGAAUUAAAGUUUACUGAUUUUGAAAA